GACGAACGCUGGCGGCGUGCUUAACACAUGCAAGUCGAACGGAAAGGCCCUGCUUUUGUGGGGUGCUCGAGUGGCGAACGGGUGAGUAACACGUGAGUAACCUGCCCUUGACUUUGGGAUAACUUCAGGAAACUGGGGCUAAUACCGGAUAUGAGCUCCUGCUGCAUGGUGGGGGUUGGAAAGUUUCGGCGGUUGGGGAUGGACUCGCGGCUUAUCAGCUUGUUGGUGGGGUAGUGGCUUACCAAGGCUUUGACGGGUAGCCGGCCUGAGAGGGUGACCGGGCACAAUGGGAAUGAGAGAGGGCCCAGACUCCUACGGGAGGCAGCAGUGGGGAAUAUUGCACAAUGGGCGGAAGCCUGAUGCAGCAACGCCGCGUGCGGGAUGACGGCCUUCGGGUUGUAAACCGCUUUCGCCUGUGACGAAGCGUGAGUGACGGUAAUGGGUAAAGAAGCACCGGCUAACUACGUG
rnacentral:rRNA from 1 species